ACCGACUCCAGCCGCCUAGACGCUGCCACUAUGGUCAUGGCGGAGGGGACGGCAGUGCUGAGGCAGAACAGGCCGGGCACCAAAGCGCAGGAUUUCUAUAAUUGGCCUGAUGAAUCCUUUGAUGAAAUGGACAGUACACUAGCUGUUAAACAGUAUAUUCAACAGAACAUAAGAGCAGAUUUCUCCAAUAUUGACAAAAUUCUUGAACCACCUGAAGGCCAAGAUGAAGGUGUGUGGAAGUAUGAACAUUUAAGGCAGUUCUGCCUUGAGCUAAAUGGACUUGCUGUCAAACUUCAGAGUGAAUGCCAUCCAGAUACUUGCACACAAAUGACAGCAACUGAACAAUGGAUUUUUCUUUGUGCAGCUCAUAAAACUCCAAAAGAGUGUCCUGCUAUAGACUAUACUAGACAUACACUUGAUGGUGCUGCAUGUCUUCUGAAUAGCAAUAAAUAUUUUCCCAGCAGAGUUAGCAUAAAGGAAUCAUCUGUAGCGAAACUAGGAUCAGUAUGCCGUAGGAUUUACAGAAUAUUUUCACAUGCUUAUUUUCAUCAUCGGCAGAUAUUUGAUGAAUAUGAAAAUGAAACAUUUUUGUGUCAUCGGUUUACUAAAUUUGUGAUGAAAUACAAUUUGAUGUCCAAGGAUAACCUGAUUGUACCAAUUUUAGAAGAGGAAGUACAGAAUUCAGUUUCUGGGGAAAGUGAAGCAUGAAGGGAAUCAUAUGGAAAAAUGUACUGAUCAUAUAAUUAACAUUAAUUAUGUACUGUAUAUAUCAUUUUAGACACAUCAAUCAUGUAUCUAUAUUAUAGCUUCUUUGUUUAGUAUAGGUUUUUGUAUGCUGGGUUUGCCUUUUAAAAUGGGAAAUACUUUUUAAGUUAUUCAUAAGCUGUAUAUUCACCAAUGUGGCACUCAUGGUUUUUAAAUAAGAUUAGUAUUAUCUGUUUAUAAUGCCUGUUAAUAAAAGAAUUUACAGUUUGGUAAAAUUGCUGCUAAACAAUCAUUGGAUCGGAAUCCUCAUCAAACAAACCCAUCUGUAAAAAAAAAUGAUUGAGAGCUUGAGGUUUCACACAAGCCAUUUACUGAAGAGGUAGAAAUGUUUUCCAUUGGUUUUACCUUGAGUUUAGAUAUCCUAAAAAAUUCUAUAGUACAUAGUUUUGUCUUACCUGUUAACUUUCCCCAAUUGAGAUAAAAGUGUUUUAAAAUUCUGUUUAUAGUUUUUGAUACGCAUAUAUAAUUAUGUGUAUAUCUAAAUACAAAUGCAGAUGAAGCAUUAGUAAUACUUAAAUAAUUUUACUG